rnacentral:rRNA from 1 species
UACAGAGGGGGCAAGCGUUCUUCGGAAUUAUUGGGCGUAAAGGGCGCGUAGGCGGUUUCUUAAGUCAGAUGUGUAAUCCCCGAGCUUAACUUGGGAACUGCAUCUGAGACUGGGAGGCUAGAGUACUGGAGAGGGUGGUGGAAGUCCUCGUGUAGCGGUGAAAUGCGUAGAGAUGAGGAGGAACACCAGUGGUGAAGGCGGCCACCUGGACAGUAACUGACGCUGAGGCGCGAAAGUGUGGGUAGCAAACAGG